GGAAUGUGGCUCAGUGGUAGAGUACUUGCCUAGUAAGCACAAGGCCCUAGGUUCGCUACCUCAGCACCG
rnacentral:tRNA from 1 species